CCUUCGAUAGCUCAGUUGGUAGAGCGGUGGACUGUAGAAUGAUUCUGAUUCUGAAGGACGCAGAUAUCCAUAGGUCGCUGGUUCAAAUCCGGCUCGAAGGA
rnacentral:tRNA from 1 species